GUGAACUGCUUUGGAUCCAGCAGGUCACAGGCUGAAAACUGUCAAGUCACACAGAGGACUAAUACUCCACAGAGGUCACUACAAUCAGCAUACCGAGCACCAUGUGGGAUCAGUCAGUGAACUGGGGACUGUGCACGUUGACCACAGAGUGUCGUAUUGCUGCAGUUAUUUGGCAGUGACUGAACAAAAUGCCACAACAGCCCACCUGGAGAGCGCCUGGCAGAUGGAGAGGAGUUUCUGCUGAAAGUUAACCCUCUUGAUGGCAUGUGAGUUCAGGAGUCUUGCACACAAUGCCAGAAGGAACAGAAGCCUCAAAAAACUCUACAUGUCCGAACGGCGGUAUCCACUAUACGGUGCUUUAAUGUGAAGGACGAAAGCAUGGUCAAAGGUCUGACAAUAGCUGAGUACAUUCUGAAUGUUGUUUUCAUCCAUGAUUAUCAGAUGCAGAGGGCAUGGAAACAAAUAAGGUAUGGUCAGACUCUAACUUCCUGGCACAUUCAAUUACACUGUUUUUAAUUUAGGAAGCAAAACCUCAGAUACACAAAAUUCACCGUAGAUUCUGAAUACAACCAUGGAAGUUGAAAGCUCAUAAUGGGCCUAUAGGGAUUCAGAUACUCUACAGUAUAUGUGGUUAAAAGAUGCAGAAAUGAUAGCA